rnacentral:rRNA from 1 species
GGGCCCGCACAAGCGGUGGAGUAUGUGGUUUAAUUCGAUGCAACGCGAAGAACCUUACCAGGGUUUGACAUCCUGCGAAUCUCUUGGAAACAGGAGAGUGCCUUCGGGAACGCAGUGACAGGUGGUGCAUGGCUGUCGUCAGCUCGUGUCGUGAGAUGUUGGGUUAAGUCCCGCAACGAGCGCAACCCACGUCUUUAGUUGCCAGCAUUUAGUUGGGCACUCUAGAGAGACUGCCGGUGAUAAACCCGGAGGAAGGUGUGGAUGACAGUCAAGUCAUCCAUGCCCAUACAUCCUGGGCUACACACGUACUACAAUGCUACGGACAAAGGGCAGCAAGUUCGCGAGGACAAG